rnacentral:rRNA from 1 species
CCCUUAGAUGUUCUGGGCCGCACGCGCGCUACACUGACAGAGCCAACGAGUUCUUUGCCUUGGCCGGAAGGUCUGGGUAAUCUUGUUAAACUCUGUCGUGCUGGGGAUAGAGCAUUGCAAUUAUUGCUCUUCAACGAGGAAUGCCUAGUAAGCGCGUGUCAUCAGCAUGCGUUGAUUACGUCCCUGCCCUUUGUACACACCGCCCGUCGCUACUACCGAUUGAAUGGUUUAGUGAGGACUCCUGAUUGGCGCCGCCGCCCCGGCAACGGAGCAGCGGACUGCCGAAAAGUUGUUCAAACUUGAUCAUUUAGAGGAAGUAAAAGUCGUAACA